UGGGGAAUAUUGCACAAUGGGCGCAAGCCUGAUGCAGCCAUGCCGCGUGUAUGAAGAAGGCCUUCGGGUUGUAAAGUACUUUCAGCGGGGAGGAAGGGAGUAAAGUUAAUACCUUUGCUCAUUGACGUUACCCGCAGAAGAAGCACCGGCUAACUCCGUGCCAGCAGCCGCGGUAAUACGGAGGGUGCAAGCGUUAAUCGGAAUUACUGGGCGUAAAGCGCACGCAGGCGGUUUGUUAAGUCAGAUGUGAAAUCCCCGGUCUCAACCUGGGAACUGCAUCUGAUACUGGCAAGCUUGAGUCUCGUAGAGGGGGGUAGAAUUCCAGGUGUAGCGGUGAAAUGCGUAGAGAUCUGGAGGAAUGCCGGUGGCGAAGGCGGCCCCCUGGACGAAGACUGACGCUCAGGUGCGAAAGCGUGGGGAGCAAACA
rnacentral:rRNA from 1 species